CAGUAGCCACGAUAAUACGUAGGGUGCAAGCGUUAAUCGGAAUUACUGGGCGUAAAGCGUGCGCAGGCGGUUAUAUAAGACAGAUGUGAAAUCCCCGGGCUCAACCUGGGAACUGCAUUUGUGACUGUAUAGCUAGAGUACGGCAGAGGGGGAUGGAAUUCCGCGUGUAGCAGUGAAAUGCGUAGAUAUGCGGAGGAACACCGAUGGCGAAGGCAAUCCCCUGGGCCUGUACUGACGCUCAUGCACGAAAGCGUGGGGAGCAAACAGGAUUAGAUACCCCUGUAGUCCCUGUCUCUUAUAU
rnacentral:rRNA from 1 species